GAGAGAAAGAGUUGAGUGAAAAGGGCUUGGAGAAGGCUCGAUUUUGUGGAAGUUGGGAGCAAUAUCGAAAGGUUUUCUCUUGCAUGCCAUGGUUGGAGCUUUAGGAAGGCAUGGGAGGUUCAACCUAGUGAUUCCAAGCUAAGGAAGCAAAGGUCCUCCAAGAUUUGAAAGAAAUAGAUGCAUGCAUGUGGAUCAAUCUUAGAAUGCGUGAUGAUUUUGGUGUUAGAUGAGUAAUGGCAAUGGUGACCAAGAAUGUG